UACGGGAGGCAGCAGUGGGGAAUAUUGGACAAUGGGCGGAAGCCUGAUCCAGCCAUGCCGCGUGUGUGAAGAAGGCCUUUUGGUUGUAAAGCACUUUUAAGCGAGGAGGAGGCUACUAGUAUUAAUACUACUGGAUAGUGGACGUUACUCGCAGAAUAAGCACCGGCUAACUCUGUGCCAGCAGCCGCGGUAAUACAGAGGGUGCGAGCGUUAAUCGGAUUUACUGGGCGUAAAGCGUGCGUAGGCGGCUUUUUUAAGUCGGAUGUGAAAUCCCCGAGCUUAACUUGGGAAUUGCAUUCGAUACUGGGAAGCUAGAGUAUGGGAGAGGAUGGUAGAAUUCCAGGUGUAGCGGUGAAAUGCGUAGAGAUCUGGAGGAAUACCGGAUGGCGAAGGGCAGCCAUCGUGGCCUAAUACGUGACGCUGGAGGUACGAAAGCAGU
rnacentral:rRNA from 1 species